AUGGAUGGCUCAGUGGUUAAGAGCACUGACUGUUCUUCCAGAGGUCCUGAGUUCAAUUCCCAGCAACCAUA
rnacentral:tRNA from 1 species